rnacentral:rRNA from 1 species
UACGUAGGGUGCAGGCGUUAAUCGGAAUUACUGGGCGUAAAGCGUGCGCAGGCGGUCUUUUAAGUCAGAUGUGAAAUCCCCGGGCUUAACCUGGGAACUGCGUUUGAAACUGGAAGGCUUGAGUGUGGCAGAGGGGGGUGGAAUUCCACGUGUAGCAGUGAAAUGCGUAGAGAUGUGGAGGAACACCGAUGGCGAAGGCAAUCCCCUGGGCCUGCACUGACGCUCAUGCACGAAAGCGUGGGGAGCAAACAGG